GGAAGUGCAGCCGCUAUGGAUUCUUUAAAAUCAGCAACCUCUACAGCACCUACCCAGAAUCAUGCCAAGUUUACAGAUUACUCCCUAACAAGGAACUGCUGGCCUGUAAAAUCCCAGCUGGCUCCUCACUGGGCCCCUGCAAAGCCUGAGAGCCCCAUGAGAUAGGGGGAGACUCAAAGCUCACCGGCCCUGCCCACCAUCUGACAAUUUCAGCAUCGCUUCCGGGAGUACAAGUGCCGCUCCUAUGCGCGGCCAGGGUUUGCAGGACCGUGUGACCUAACCGCGCCCGAGGCUUCCUCGCCAUCUGCCCGCCUUCCCCAGCCCUUCCGCCCUGAGAGGGGAUCCCAGAACCGCAUCCAGACCGAUCAGGGCCUUCUUGCGCUCUGUCUCAGCUUCCUUCUCCACCACCUUCUGUUUCUGGGCUGCAAUGAGCAGCUUUGUCUUCUCGCUUUCCCUGAAGGGAAGAACAGUAUGCAGCCGUGAGGCGGCUGCUGAAAACGCUUCCGAGGAACUUCACUGUCCCCUGGAGGAACCAAACUUCUGCUGAGGAGAGGCAAACCUGGCUUUCUCACUCUCGCCUGGAAGGCUGUUCCCUGUCCCAACUGUCACCUGCUUGAAGUAGCCGUUCUUGGUCACCUGUGCCCAAAGAGGAGCCACUGCCAUCUGCCUUUAACAGAUGCCCAAAUGGAGGCCCAUGGAGGUUCAGUGAUGUGCUCAAGCGAGUUAGCAGUCAAACUAAUAAACGUGUUUGGUCACUAUGCUUUAA